CCGCGGCUUCCGUAGACGGAAGUGACGUCACAUCCAAAAUGGUGCUGGAGAAGAAGGUUUCUGCUCGGGUGGAGGCGGGCCAACGCAGGGUGUUGGACGAAGCCACGCGUCAGAGGCGUCUGAGUCGUCAGCUGGAGGCGUUGGAGAAGGACAACUUCCAGGACGACCCCCUGUCCUCCCUCCCUCCUCCGGGUCCCGCCGCUCGCCUUCCCGCCUUCAGCGAGUCUGAGGAACCAGAGAAGAAGAAGAGGAAGACGAGGGGCGACCACUUCAAGCAGAGGUUCAGGAAGAACUUCACCACGCUGCUGGAGGAGGAGAACCUGUCGGAGAAGGUGGAGCCCAACUACCUGUCGGCCGUGGCUCCGCCCUCCUCGCUGCCCCCCAGACAUUUCUGCUGCGUCUGUGGGUUCCCGUCUCAUUACACCUGCACCACCUGUGGGGGGCGCUACUGCAGCAGCAGGUGUCUGUGUACGCACCGCGAGACCAGGUGUUUGAAGUGGACGCUGUGAGGGGGGGCCUGUCUCCAUGGUAACAGACGCCAUAGACCUGCGCCUCAUCUCCAUGGUAACAGCAGCUGUAGACCUGCACCUCGGUUCUAAGGGGUGAACGUGUCCGUGUUCUGCUUCGCGUGUGUAAAUAGUGUCAUGUGUUGAUGUUUUUUGUCUGUUUUUUAUUAAAUUCACUGAUGUUGAUCUGAUUUGUCACUGAUUGAUCUGAGGUUUAAACUUUAAAUUGACACAGUGGUUGCUUCUCAUUGGAUUUCAACUCCAUGUAGGCGGAGCCAUGUCAGUGCCGGACACCUGACCCGUCUCCUGGUGUUGGUAAACACAACAUUCCCAUCUGGGUCCUUGAACCAGUGGUGGGUGUGAACUCUGACUCCCUCUAGUGUCCGUUUUUCCAGACGAGUUCAAACGAGU